UGAUAUUAUUCAGAAUAGUACUUUGACCAAAGUAAUCUUUUGAUUAAAGCUCAAAAAUCCAGGUCUUGGGAUGAAGUGCAGAAGCUGAAGCCUGCUAGCCGGUUGACUGUUCAUACAAGAUACUCUUCGAAUGUUCAUAGCUAUAGUCAGAGGACAGCCAGAUAAGAGAAGCUGAAGUGCCCCUAAUGCUUGGCGAACAGUUACCCUGUAAUCUUCCUGACUCUUUGAAAAAGGAAGAAAAACAAUGCAUACAAAUUUCUGAGAACCUUGCUGAUGCUGAGUCUCCUUGAGUGAGAAAACAGGUGGGCUCUCCCUUCCUGGCCAGACUGAAAGCAUGUCACAUUCUCCUGCAGAAUUUUCACAUGAGGAUGUUUGGGAGAGCUCUUUGUGGUGCAACUCACUUGAGUCUUAUUUUGAGGUGCCACUCUGCUUUGACUUUUCUGGAUGGACUCUCAUAGUAGGCAGAGCUCUGCUUACCUUGCCACCA
rnacentral:lncRNA from 1 species